rnacentral:rRNA from 1 species
CGCGUAGGCGGCUUAAGAAGUCAGGCGUGAAAGCCCCGGGCUCAACCUGGGAGGUGCGCUUGAUACUCUUGAGCUGGAGUACGGGAGAGGAGAGUGGAAUUCCCAGUGUAGAGGUGAAGUUCGUAGAUAUUGGGAAGAACACCGGUGGCGAAGGCGGCUCUCUGGACCGUAACUGACGCUGAGGCGCGAAAGCGUGGAGAGCAAACAGGAUUAGAUACCCUGGUAGUCCACGCCGUAAACGAUGUGCGCUAGACGUUGGAGGCCAUAGGUCUCCGGUGUCGCAGCUAACGCUUUAAGCGCACCGCCUGGGGAGUACGGCCGCAAGGUUAAA